rnacentral:rRNA from 1 species
GACGAACGCUGGCGGCGUGCUUAACACAUGCAAGUCGAACGGAAAGGCCCUGCUCUUGUGGGGUGCUCGAGUGGCGAACGGGGGAGUAACACGCGAGUAACCUGCCCUUGACUUUGGGAUAACUUCAGGAAAAUGGGGCUAAUACAGGGUAGGAGCUCCUGCUGCACGGGGGGGGAUGGAAAGAUUCGGCGGUUGGGGAUGGACUCGCGGCUUAUCGGCUUGUUGGGGGGGUAGUGGCUUACCAAGGCUUUGACGGGUAGCCGGCCUGAGAGGGUGACCGGCCACCUUGGGACUGAGAGACGGCCCAGACUGCUACGGGAGGCAGCAGUGGGGAAUCUUGCACAAUGGGCGGCAGCCUGAUGCAGAAACGCCGCGUGCGGGAUGACGGCCUUCGGGUUGUAAACCGCUUUCGCAUGUGCCGAAGCGUGAGUGACGGUAAUGGGUAAAGAAGCACCGGCUAACUACGUG